GGCUCUUCGCUCUCUUAUCGGGGCCGCGCAUUCAGUCUCUGUAGCCUGAUCUCUUCCUCACUCUUCUGCUCUUACAGAAUGGAUUGGUCUGCUGAAAGACAGGGGCUAGAAGAGGGGCCGACUCUGGUGGGAAAGGGAGCACGUGAGAACAGUCAGCUCGGGAGGCCAGGAGACCCAGAGCUCAGCCCUGAAGCUGGCGGACCGGAGCUGCCAAUUCAGCAGAGCUGUUAUCCACAGGAGGGCUGCUCUAAUAGGAGAUACCUGGUCAUCACACUUAACAAGAGGGACAGGAAUGCGACACAGAGAGAAGCCAGAGAAUGACUCCAGAAACAUGAUAUGGGCAAGUACAUCAUUCACUCUCGUAUUUGUUUAUCCAGCAAAAAAUUUUUGAGCAUCCAUUGUGGGCAGAGCUCUUCUCCUGGCACAGGAUAACAUAAUGUUGACUGUAGAUACACAUUCCAUAGUCACAGAUACACACUGCAUAGUCAUUCAAGCUAAGAGAGAUUAUUUAGAAUAAGUUGAUUCAAGAAGAGAUCUGAAAACAACUCCCCCUCCCGCCCCUGCCUCCCACCCCAGGAUUAGGCUUUUCAAAGGAGAAAUAAAAAUUGUCUACAUUUUUGCUUUCCUGUAUGAUCUUCACUAGUCCAGAUGGCUAUUGACCACUUGAAUUGUGAUUAAUCUGAAAUGAAAUGUGCCUUAAGCAUAAAAUGCACAUCAGAUCUCAUUAAACUCAGUAUGAAAAAAUGUGAAAUAUCUCAUUAAUACUUUUCCAUAAUGUACUCUUUUGGAUAUAUUUGGUUACAUAGAUAAAAUUAUAAUUACUUUCACCUGUUUCUUUUUAGUUUUUCAUAUGUACAGUUCUGACACAAGCUGGGUGUCCCACACGUUUAAUUCAAUUCUGACACGAUCUGGAUACCAGCAGAUCCCACGGGUCAAAGGCUCAGUGCCACAAGACUGACCCCAAUUCAGAUGCUAACCAGAAGUCCAGGUUGUCACUUGUGCUUUUGACCAACCGUCUGUAGAUUGGAGGUUUCCAUCACCCCCUUUUUAGAGUCAGUUAAUUUGUUACAGUAACUCACAAAACAGAGAAACAUUUUACUUAAUAGAUUACCAGAUUAUUAUAAAAUGUUAUAACCUAGGAAUAGCCAAGCGGAAGAGAUUCAUAGGGCAAAGUAUAUAGAAAUGGUGGGGAGAGUCCCUGUUCUCCCAGAAUCUCUAUACGUUCACCAACCUGGAUGCUCUCUAAACCCUGUCCUUUUGGGUUUUUGUGGAUGCUUCAUUAUAUGGGAACAAUUGAUUAAAUCAUUGGCCACUGGCCAUAAAUUCCAUCUCCAAGCCCUCUCUCCUCCCCAGAGGUCAGGGGGGUGGGAAGGAAGG
rnacentral:lncRNA from 1 species